GAUGAACGCUGGCGGCGUGCCUAAUACAUGCAAGUCGAGCGAACGGACGAGAAGCUUGCUUCUCUGAUGUUAGCGGCGGACGGGUGAGUAAAACGUGGAUAACCUACCUAUAAGACUGGGAUAACUUCGGGAAACCGGAGCUAAUACCGGAUAAUAUUUUGAACCGCAUGGUUCAAAAGUGAAAGACGGUCUUGCUGUCACUUAUAGAUGGAUCCGCGCUGCAUUAGCUAGUUGGUAAGGUAACGGCUUACCAAGGCAACGAUGCAUAGCCGACCUGAGAGGGUGAUCGGCCACACUGGAACUGAGACACGGUCCAGACUCCUACGGGAGGCAGCAGUAGGGAAUCUUCCGCAAUGGGCGAAAGCCUGACGGAGCAACGCCGCGUGAGCGAUGAAGGUCUUCGGAUCGUAAAACUCUGUUAUUAGGGAAGAACAUAUGUGUAAGUAACUGUGCACAUCUUGACGGUACCUAAUCAGAAAGCCACGGCUAACUACGUG
rnacentral:rRNA from 1 species